rnacentral:rRNA from 1 species
GACAGAGGGGGCAAGCGUUGCUCGGAAUUACUGGGCGUAAAGGGCGCGUAGGCGGGAUGGCAAGUCGGUCGUGAAAUCCUUCGGCUCAACCGAAGAACGUCGAUCGAUACUGCUGUUCUUGAGGGUUGCAGAGGAGACUGGAAUUCCCGGUGUAGCGGUGAAAUGUGUAGAGAUCGGGAGGAACACCGAUGGCGAAGGCAGCCCCCUGGGCCAAUACUGACGCUCAGGCACGAAAGCGUGGGGAGCAAACAGG